GAUGAACGCUAGCGGGAGGCUUAACACAUGCAAGUCGAGGGGCAGCAUAGGGUAGCAAUACUCUGAUGGCGACCGGCAAACGGGUGAGUAACGCGUAUGCAACCUACCCUGUACAGGGGGAUAACCCGGAGAAAUUCGGACUAAUAUCCCGUAAUAAUAUCCGGAGGCAUCUUUGGAUAUUUAAAGUUCCGACGGUACGGGAUGGGCAUGCGUAACAUUAACUGGUUGGUAAGGUAACGGCUUACCAAGGCUAUGAUGUUUAGGGGUCCUGAGAGGGUGGUCCCCCACACUGGUACUGAGACACGGACCAGACUCCUACGGGAGGCAGCAGUGAGGAAUAUUGGUCAAUGGGCGCAAGCCUGACGGAGCAACGCCGCGUGAGUGAAGAAGGCCCUUGGGUUGUAAACUACUGUCAUCAGGGAAGAAGGAAAGUAGACGGUACCUGAGGAGGAAGCCCGGCCGUAACUACGUG
rnacentral:rRNA from 1 species